CUUGCUUCUCUUGAGAGCGGCGGACGGGUGAGUAAUGCCUAGGAAUCUGCCUGGUAGUGGGGGAUAACGCUCGGAAACGGACGCUAAUACCGCAUACGUCCUACGGGAGAAAGCAGGGGACCUUCGGGCCUUGCGCUAUCAGAUGAGCCUAGGUCGGAUUAGCUAGUUGGUGAGGUAAUGGCUCACCAAGGCGACGAUCCGUAACUGGUCUGAGAGGAUGAUCAGUCACACUGGAACUGAGACACGGUCCAGACUCCUACGGGAGGCAGCAGUGGGGAAUAUUGGACAAUGGGCGAAAGCCUGAUCCAGCCAUGCCGCGUGUGUGAAGAAGGUCUUCGGAUUGUAAAGCACUUUAAGUUGGGAGGAAGGGCAGUAAAUUAAUACUUUGCUGUUUUGACGUUACCGACAGAAUAAGCACCGGCUAACUCUGUGCCAGCAGCCGCGGUAAUACAGAGGGUGCAAGCGUUAAUCGGAAUUACUGGGCGUAAAGCGCGCGUAGGUGGUUCGUUAAGUUGGAUGUGAAAUCCCCGGGCUCAACCUGGGAACUGCAUUCAAAACUGUCGAGCUAGAGUAUGGUA
rnacentral:rRNA from 1 species